CCGGGGAGGUACGACGACGACAAGUAGUAGAAACGUACGAAAGGAAAGUUAGGACGGGGGCCCGGACGACGAAGACGGUGGAGCGAUGUGGUUUAAGUUACGUAAGCAACGACGAAGAACCGUUAACCAGGUCUUGUACAUCCGAUGCUAUUUCUAGAGAUAGAAAGUUACUUCGGUACAUCGGUGACAGGUGGUGCAUGGUUGUCGUCAGCUCGUGUCGUGAGAUGUUGGGUUAAGUCCCGCAACGAGCGCAACCCCUAUUGUUAGUUGCCAUCAUUCAGUUGGGCACUCUAGCGAGACUGCCGGUAAUAAACCGGAAGGAAGGGUGGGGGAGUGACGUCAAAUCAUCAUGCCCCUUAUGACCUGGGCUACACACGUGCUACAAUGGUUGGUACAACGAGUUGCGAGUCGGUGACGGCAAGCUAAUCUCUUAAAGCCAAUCUCAGUUCGGAUUGUAGGCUGCAACUCGCCUACAUGAAGUCGGAAUCGCUAGUAAUCGCGGAUCAGCACGCCGCCGGUGAACUACGUUCCCGGGCCUUCGUACACACGUCGACGCGGCCG
rnacentral:rRNA from 1 species